rnacentral:tRNA from 1 species
CAGGGAGACAACAAAAUGUUCAAUAUUAUUUUGUCACCUUAGGUCGAUCGGUAUCUCACAUUCUUAAUUUAUUGAGGAUUUCAAUUCCUAAGUUUUUUCUAGGUCACACCCAUUACUUUUCCUGGGCCAUUAGCUCAGGUGGUUAGAGCGCACCCCUGAUAAGGGUGAGGUCCCUGGUUCAAGUCCAGGAUGGCCCAUAUCUCUAUGUUGGGGGUAUAGCUCAGUUGGUAGAGCGCCUGCUUUGCAAGCAGGAUGUCAGCGGUUCGAGUCCGCUUACCUCCACUGAUUACCACCUCUUCCAUAUUUUUAGAAAGGAAAAUUUUGCGUUGUGAUCAAAUUCUGAACGAAUCUAGCUUCCUAAUGAAACCAUUAAGACGCUGGACUCAUUGAAUUAUUUUCAUUGUUUUCAGAGAACCUUGACAACUGCAUAGAUUAUUUUUAAAGACAAUAAGCAUCUUUAAUGGUGCAGAUUUAUUAUUUGUGCGAAUGCAUUAAUAACAAUUCUAUUAAGCUGAUGCUUCAAUUUUUGAAGUUAUU